rnacentral:rRNA from 1 species
CCUACGGGUGGCAGCAGUGAGGAAUAUUGGUCAAUGGGCGCAAGCCUGAACCAGCCAAGUAGCGUGAAGGAUGACUGCCCUAAGGGUUGUAAACUUCUUUUAUCAAGGAAUAAAGUGAGGCACGUGUGCCUUUUUGUAUGUACUUUAUGAAUAAGGAUCGGCUAACUCCGUGCCAGCAGCCGCGGUAAUACGGAGGAUCCGAGCGUUAUCCGGAUUUAUUGGGUUUAAAGGGUGCGUAGAUGGGUUGUUAAGUCAGGUGGGAAAGUUGGCGGCGCAACCGUGAAAUUGCAAUUGAUAAUGGCAGGCUGGAGUACAGAUGAGGUAGGAGGAAUGCGUGGUGUAGCGGUGAAAUGCAUAGAUAUCACGAAGAACACCGAUUGCGAAGGCAGCUUACGAAACUGCCACUGACAUUGAUGCUCGAAAGUGUGGGUAUCAAACAGGAUUAGAUACCCGAGUAGUC